rnacentral:rRNA from 1 species
GAUGAACGCUGGCGGCGUGCCUAAUACAUGCAAGUAGAACGCUGAAGGAGGAGCUUGCUCUUCUGGAUGAGUUGCGAACGGGUGAGUAACGCGUAGGUAACCUGCCUGGUAGCGGGGGAUAACUAUUGGAAACGAUAGCUAAUACCGCAUGACAACAGUUAUUGCAUGAUAACUGUUUAAAAGGGGCAACUGCUCCACUACCAGAUGGACCUGCGUUGUAUUAGCUAGUUGGUGAGGUAACGGCUCACCAAGGCGACGAUACAUAGCCGACCUGAGAGGGUGAUCGGCCACACUGGGACUGAGACACGGCCCAGACACCUACGGGAGGCAGCAGUAGGGAAUCUUCGGCAAUGGGCGGAAGUCUGACCGAGCAACGCCGCGUGAGGGAAGAAGGAUUUCGGAUCGUAAAGCUCGGUUGUAAGAGAAGAACGAGUGUGAGAGUGGAAAGUUCACACUGUGACGGUAUCUUACCAGAAAGGGACGGCUAACUACGUG